rnacentral:rRNA from 1 species
UGCUUCUUAUAUUAAUAAAAUAUAAUAUUUUUAUUAUACUUAAGUAUUCAUGAAAUUUGAAUAUAAUUCUAGGUAAAAAAUUGAUAAUGACAAAGUUUUAUCUAUUUGUCUUGACCAAAUCUUGUGCCAGCAGUCGCGGCAACACAAGGAAGACAAGUGUUAUUCAUCUUAAAUCGGUUUAAGGGGUACCUAGACGGUAAAUUAGGCCAUAGUAGGAACGUUUUUACUAGAGUUAUACAUGCAAGGGGAUUGUGUCAGUAUUACCAGAGUAGAGAUGAAAUUUUUUGAUACUG